rnacentral:sRNA from 1 species
AGAUGCAGUGAAGUCGAGAUUGAAUGGUCCAGCGACCUUGUGAUCCAGUGCGAUCGAGUGGAUGUCAUGAGGUGGUGAUCGAGUGCUUUCUUCGGCUUCUCUUCUCUUCUUUGUUCUCAGCUUGUCUGGUUGAGUGCGGAACGAGCAGAUAGGCUUCCUGGUGGUCGAGUGGUGAUCGAGUGGUUCUGAUGGGGUGAUUCCUCUGGCUUCGCGAUUGAGUGAAACUGAGCUGCUUGCUUCUCCGGGGUUGCGAUAGAGUGAUUUGCCCUGGCAGGGCUUCGAGGCUACGAUAGAGUACUUUUGCUGAAGGCGUCAUUGGGCAUUCUGACUUCUUGUUCUGUUUUUCCUCUGUUUGAACUCCAAAAGCAUCCAAAGUACCUGAAAACAACCAAAUAUGCCAUGCACAUGCAGUCCUAAUUGAAAAUCGUCCUAAGUAUGUAAAACACACUAAAACGACUCCUAAUGAGAUGAAAUGUGGAUAAAACAAUGACAAAGUGGUGAAGAAUGAAUGCCUAAAUCAUGCAAAUUAUAGACACAUCAAAGCUCUCUGAUGAAUGAGGAAGCACAAUGGAAUUCUUCUAUUUGUAUUUUUCUACUCCAAAUUUUGACCUUAAUGUACUUUUUCAGGCCUUUUUGUGAUCUUUUCUAUAUUACGGGGCGAAAAUUAUAUGUUCGGACAUUGUUUUUGAAUAUUUUGCGUUAAUCAAAGCUCAUAUAAACAAGAUAGGGUAUUCCUACAUAGCUGGUGGAACCCACGGCAAAUGGAUCAUAAAGUCUUCAAAAAAGAGUAGAUACGAUUGCAUUGCAUGUAGUAACGGAUGCGAUCAUACCAGCAUUAAUGCACCGGAUCCCAUCAGAACUCUGCAGUUAAGCGUGCUUGGGCGAGAGUUGUACUAGGAUGGGUGACCUCCAGGAAAUUCCUCGUGUUGCAUCCCUCUUUUUUUUCUCGGUUUUUCUCUUUUUUGUUUUGUUAAAAAUAUAUGAUUCUAUAACUUUUAGACCGUGAGGCCAAACUUGGCAUGUGAUACCUUUUCGGAAAGCCCAAAGAGAGCUCUCCAAUUAAUGAGGAAGGAAAAUGGAAUUCUUCUAUUGUUUUUUUUUUCUACUCCAAAUUUUGACCUACAUGUACUUUUUCGGGCCAUUUCGUGAUCUGUGCUAUAUUACGGGGCAAAAAUUAUAUGUUCGGACAUUGUUUUCGAAUAUUUUACAUGUAUCAAAGCUCAUAUAAACAAGAUAGGGUACUCCUACAUAGCUGGUGGGACCCACGCCAAAUGGAUCAUAAAGUC